rnacentral:rRNA from 1 species
GGAGCUUGCUCCUUUGACGUUAGCGGCGGACGGGUGAGUAACACGUGGGCAACCUACCCUAUAGUUUGGGAUAACUCCGGGAAACCGGGGCUAAUACCGAAUAAUCUCUUUUGCUUCAUGGCAAGAGACUGAAAGACGGUUUCGGCUGUCGCUAUAGGAUGGGCCCGCGGCGCAUUAGCUAGUUGGUGAGGUAACGGCUCACCAAGGCGACGAUGCGUAGCCGACCUGAGAGGGUGAUCGGCCACACUGGGACUGAGACACGGCCCAGACUCCUACGGGAGGCAGCAGUAGGGAAUCUUCCACAAUGGGCGAAAGCCUGAUGGAGCAACGCCGCGUGAGUGAAGAAGGUUUUCGGAUCGUAAAACUCUGUUGUAAGGGAAGAACAAGUACAGUAGUAACUGGCUGUACCUUGACGGUACCUUAUUAGAAAGCCACGGCUAACUACGUGCCAGCAGCCGCGGUAAUACGUAGGUGGCAAGCGUUGUCCGGAAUUAUUGGGCGAAAGCGCGCGCAGGCGGCCUUUAAGUCUGAUGU